CUUCUCUUUAAUCUGUUUAUAAAUAAUCUUGAAGUAGGCAUUUGCAGGUGUUUGCAGAUGACAGAAAACUAGGUAAGUUUAUACAGUUUGAACAUGAUAUAAGGUCUUUACAGAUGGAUUUGGAUACAUUGGGGGACUGGGCAGGCAUUUUGCAAAUGAGAUUCAAUACAGAUAAAUGCAAAGUCAUUUUUUUUUCAAUAAAACACCCCACUAGUCGCCUAUACAAUAAAUUAAAUUAAAG